GGCCCGGACCUUGCGCAAGGGGAGGAGGGAAGAGGAUGUCCUGAGGUGCUGGGCUGACACCGUGAGUGCCUCUCAGCAAGGCGUUCCCCUCCGGUGGCCUCUUCCUCCCGGCUCAGCUCGGCCCCCUCCACCCCGGGAUGGGCAACACUCGUCCUGGGACACCGCUCUGAGCCCCUGGCUGGCUGUCACUGCAGGGUCAGCGGCAGCGUCCCCGUUCACAUCGGGGUGUCAGCAGAUCACCCUCUGUCACUUACGCCCUACUCCCCGCGCAGGCCUGUUAUUUCCAUCUCAUAAGGACCGUGCAGCCACACAGGGGAAGUGUCCUACGCCCAGGGCUGUGCUGUUUCCAUUAUGACAGUGGAGCUGACUCAAAACCCACCCCUCAGGGAUUUCUCUUCCCCUUUCCUCCUCCGGGAAGGCAGGCUAGUCAACUCAAAGCCCCUGAGCCCAGGGCCCCCAGGGAGGGCGAUGGGAGAAGUCCCUACCUUUGCCUCUGCUCCUAAACCCAUCAUAUGCCCACUAGGCCUUACUUCCUCCCGGUGGGCCAGCCUGCCCCUUUGUGCGUUCCCCCUACCCCAAAAAGAAGGUUCUCGGGGCUGGAAGCUGUGUGCAACACCUCCCUCAGAUGGUUCAGUUCCAGAGAGCCUGUGGGCUAAUUUUCUGGACCCACUGUGUGUGCCAGGCCCGCGCUGGGUGCAGGAGCACAGCACUGACUGAUGGAUCUGAGCUCCCCAGCAGUGAUGGUGGAAGUCCUGGUGGGUGCUGCUUGAUCCAGCUGGCAAGGGGGUGAAGGCAAAGUCAGCGAAAGCUUCCCAAAGGACACCUGAGCUCUGACUUGUCCUUAGACAGAAUUGGACCAGGGACCCAGGGUAGGGCAGACUUAAUUCAGGAUGUGGGUUACCUCAUCCCCACCAGCCAAUGGCUAAGAGGCUUGUAAAGUCUAAAAUUCAAGGAAAUACCCAAAACACAGCCUACUCCUCCAACCCACUGUCAUGGCCUCUCCUUGGUGGGAUGCAGGUCCUGUUCUUUAAGGUGUAUUCAGAGAAGCUCCUGACAGCCAGACGCCACAUGUUGCCCAGCGUAGCCAUUUUAAGUUUUCCCAGCCGCGUGGAGCCCUAUGGCAAUCCCAUACUCCGUUCCCAGGUGUCCUGAGUAUUCCUUCAGUGCCACCAGGGUCCUCUGGGCUCUUGGGCUCCCCUGAGCCUCUGUUCUUGCCUGGAUCCCAAGCUUGUCUCCUUUGGUUCACUCCCUCAUUUUGAUGAAGCACAUCCUUUAACCACUUUCUAACAGCUUGCAAGUCUGAAAAAGUUUGUAUCCUAUUUUUGCUUUUGAUCGGUAUCUUGGCUCAGAAUGCUGACUGCUCUGUUUAUUGUCUUUUGCCUGUGGCUGCUGCUGAAAUCCAGUGUCUGUCUUAUUCCCAGACCUUUGGAUUAGCUUGUCAUUGCCUUUUUGUCUCUCCACAAACUUCCUGGUUCUUCUGACUCUGGUGUCUGAAGUUUUGGGGGAGGGGCUACAUUCCUGGGCUGGCCCUCCUUGGAGGUCGUGCAACACCUCACUCCCCCGUGACACCCUUCUCUGGACAACCUUUUCCAGUUGCUUGAAUGAACUCGAGCGCGCCCUCUCCUGGCAGGAGGCCUUCCCUCAGCUAACUCCGCACGUGAGGAAUGGAAGGUAAGAGAGGAUCAAGCUUAGAAAAGGAGAAAAAUGUUUAUGCUACAUUUUUUUUUUUUACCUCACAAUGAAAAUAGCUUUGUUAUGUCCAAUAUCUCUCCUUAACAAAAUGUAAUUUUUAAAAUUUAAUACUUUUACAUGACUCAACAUUUUAAAAAAAGUAUAAUAGUGUAUUUAGCAACAACCCCAACCCCUGGCUACCCAGUUUCCCUCCCUGGAGACAUCCAAUACCACUACCUUCUUGUGGAUCUUUCCAGAAAUUCAGGGGUAUUCUGUGGAAAUUCAAACAAAAAAAUUACAUUGCAUAUUCUAGACAAGAAAUAACAAGUGCUGGUGAGGAUGUGGAGAAAAGGAAACCAUUGUGCAGUGUUGGUGGGAAUGUAAAUCGGUGAAGCCACUGUGAAAAACAGGAUGGAGGGUCCUCAAAAUAUUAAGGGGAUUAGAGAGAUGGGGAAAAAGUGGUUGGAUUUGGGAGGGCUGGAGAAGUUAAGUAACUUGACGGACGUCACAUAGUGACUACUCAAAUUUAUAUGAAUUAAAAUGACACAAAAUUAACAUUCCACUUUCUCAGUGGCAUCAGCCACUUUACGAGUGCUUAGUAGACACAUAUGGCCACCUUAUUGAGCAGGCAGAUCAGAGAAUAUUUCCAUUGUCGCAGAGCGUGAGGGACAGCACUCCCUCAGAAACCAGGUCUCCUGAAGUUCCUUGCCUAAAGCGCAGGCAGAUUCCCUACUCAGUCUGGAGUCUCUGAGUGUUUGGGGGCUGAUGUCAGCAACUCUAGAUUGUGCUUGACCUGGCAGCGCUCCCCAACCCUUAAAAAAGUGUGGCGUCCAGAGCAGUGCAAUUGUCCCUGCCCCUUUACUACAAUUCAAGGCAGUGACUGAGAGGUAGGAAGCCACGUCACUAAUGUGUCCGUGUGAAUUUGACCACAGGGCCACCCGGGCUGCAUGGAGACUCAGAGCGGCCACGUAUGAACCCUUCUUCACGUACGACUUCAUGAAGCAAUCAGGGAUUUGCCCAGCUUCUGAAAAUAUUGGCACACAGAAUGUACAUUUCACGACUGGAAUCGUCCAUUUCGGAAUUAGAUGUCAGAAGAAUAAUAAAGUAACUUUUGAAAGUCACUGGUCGCCGCAUGCACCCUGGGGCAUCAAGAGACCAAGGAAGAGGAGCACGUAGAAAAGCGGCUCCUGCGGAGACCCGGCUCAGCCAUCGCGAGGCCCUACGUUCUGUGUCGUAGGCCCUGGCUCCUCAGCGUCGGCCUGGGCCCAGCUGUACCGGCAUCACCUGGGAGCCCGUGAGAAAUGCAGACCGAGCCCCUGCGGCAGGCCUGCUGAACCAGCCUUAGCUGAAAAAGCCCCCAGGAAAAGUUUGCAGAUGCCUGAAUAAGCGACCCAGCCAGGAUUCGAACCCGAGACUCAGAGCCAGAGGUGGCCCUCUGCAGGCAAAGAUCAGCCCGGACCUGGAAAUGCCGGCGUGAGAGACGGCCUUCUGCCCAUCAUCUCUCCAUGUGGACCCUUGGCACGGCGGCUUCAAGGUAGUUGGACUUGGCUCAUAUCUCCAAGGGUGAAUGUCCUGGAGACCAAGGUGAAAGCUGCACCUCCCAUCAUCCCGCCUUGGAAGUCACUCUGCAUCUCUUCUGUUGAAUGCAACAAAUUGUCAAAGCUGGACACUACAGAGUUAUUAUUUUACUCUGAAGCUUUGGCAAAGUGGGAUUCAUGGAAAGGACCCUACCAAGUACUCUUGGUCACUGACACGGCUGUGCUCCUCCUGCAGUAUGGUCCUGUGCAAACGCUGCAGGAGACCUCAAAAUCAAAUCGACCGGGAAGAGAAGUAGCUGACAUCGAGGGAGACUGCUUCCUCCCUGUAGUCAGAUCAAGGAACGGAAGUCACAUUUCUUUCCAGGCCUCCUUCCCCCUCUGGCCCUUUUCCAGCCUAAUUCUUUGAAGGUCUGUUAAAUGUUUUUAUCCAUCUUUUGCCUUGAUAUGACCUGGAAAUAUAAUGCUAUUGUUCACAUAUCUCAGACCGCUGCAAAAUGGGUUAUUCAACCUCCAAACGAUUGUUGGACUUGCCACGAUACUGGUGAUCCUGUAGUUUUGCUGGUCACAACACUUCUCCCUGAUUGCCAAUGCCUCACUUUCUCUGGAACAAACUCAGCCUCCUUGUUUUCAUGUCAGAUUCCUUUACCCUGGGUGUUCGUUUUCCUGUCUCUGGUUAACAGCCCGGGGAACCUAUAUCCAGGCUCUGUCCUCCACAAAAAAGGGGUGGGGGCAGACAAGGCAAGGGUCAGUGUGCAGACCCUUAAGUUUACUGGCCUCCAUGGCUGUCACCUUCCCAGUCCCAAGGCAUAGACUCAAAUGGGCAGUCUCAGGAGGCAUUCAUGAUUCAAAAUGAGCUUCCUCUGGCAGAUCCCUGCUUCCCUGGCCAGGAGUAAAUGCAUGUGAGGCUACGAUCAGGAACCUCUUCUUAACUCUUGAAGAUACUGGACAACCUGCUGCUAAAACAAGAGCUGCCCAACAAAAACUCCUUAGACUCUCUGGCCAAAGUUGUUCUUGAUGAUAUGACAGCCCUUGAUUCUAUUUUAGCUGAGAAGGGGGGGUGUUUGUGCUGUGGCCCACACCACUUGGAUUGACAUUUCUGGGGAAGGUGUGACUCAACUACCUAAGAUCACUAACUAAGCCAGUUGGCUUCAAAAAAUGACUUUAAUUGAUGUUGGGAUCAUGGCUCUGAAGUGCACUCCAGGUAUUGGAAUUACCUUGCUUAGGGCAUCUCCCUAUUGCACUGUUCUCUCUCAAAAGCUUUAAAUGCAUGUUCACAGCCACUAAUCACCAAGCAAAUUAUCUCCCUGAAACUGGAACAUCAGAAAAGGAAUGAACAGAAUAAGUAACAAAGAAUGUGAGCCUGACAUUAUGACCAACCUGUGAAUACUAGUAUAUCACACAGAGGUUCAGCAAAAAGAAAAAAAAAAAGGUGAGAGCAGAGUAGUAGCUGGGAGCAGCACUAAGGCCUUAAGUUUUGAUUACAUCUCACAGUUAACUCUGAUCAAAGAGGGGAGGAGGGGAAAAUUGUUUAAAAAAAAGACAAUAGGGCCAAAAUGGAGUCACUUAUGUUAAGCCUCAUGUCACCAAACCAAGACUGAAUUGCAGUUUCUUUUCCUAGAAAUGGAAUCUUAAACCAGUCCACCGAGAAUCGCCUGAUUAGCACUAAGUGAGGUAAUCUGCCCGCUAGACCCCUGCCCUCUUCUAGGAAGGUAACCUUGCAACAGCCAACUCACUCUUUGCCAACUAUAACGUCUUUGUCCCUGUUCCCUUCUGCCUACAAGUCUUCCAUUUCAUCCAGUUUCAUGGAGCUCCUUUCUAUGCUGCCAGAUUCAUGAAUCACUGAAUAAAGCCAAUAUGAUUUUUUAAAUUUA